ACCAAGGCUGGAGUAAAAAUUAAAUUACUGCUGUUGCAAAGGAGGGAAAAAAUUUAGGCUGUAAAAAAGUGAACUUUCAGCUUGUGUAACAGGGUUGGAAGCAGAAUUUCUGGUGGAGUGAGUUGAUGAGCAAUAGGUAGUCCUGGAGUGUCCAGAAAAACAAGGCUGGCUCCUCAUUUCACAGGUGUGAGGCAUUACCUUUUGGUGAGAGAGGAGGAGGACAGAAGCCAAGAGGCACCAGCUCUGCCCAGUUGCUAGAGGUGUAGUCUAUAAACUGCCACAAAGGGGCAGGAUGUACUUAUUUUUCAUAUGCAGCCCACUCGGAGACUUCAUCUUGGGCUCGUCCAUCCGUAAACACAAUGGAGAUUCGAGGGACAUUUGCUGAAAAUGGUCUUGCUCCUUCUGUUUCUGUGAAGCUUCUCUCAAACAUUUGCUUCAGAGCCAGUCCUGUCAUGGAACCUCGCCCCAUGUACUUCAUUUGCGAUACAGCUUUCUUCAUGUCUUUGGCUGAGCUGAACUGCCUUAAUGUAAACUCUGUGCGAACUUCAGUGGAAUACUGAAGCAAACCAACUCGAGCAGCUUUGGGUGAAAUUUCAAGUGAAUCCAAGAUUCCUGAGACAAAUUGUUUUACAAUUUCAAAAUUAUCCUCUCCAAGACUUUUUGAUCCAUCAAUCACAAACACCAGGUCAACUGGGCCUUCAGUGCAUCCUGUGAAAUAAGCAGCAGAGUGUUCAGAUCAUGAAAAAACUCCACAAAGCUGAAAAAGGGACCUAGGUAACCAGGGACUGUAUAAACUUAGAGAUCACCUGAGUUUCUGGCUCAUCCAACUUUGCCAGUGUGUCUAAAGAUGUUGUGUACAGUCUAUAUCAAAAGCUAACAGUGUGCCUAUAACCAAGAGUUUAACAAAAAUAUAAUCACAGUGAAUACGUACUGAGACAUACUGCUUAGCAGAAUACUACAACUCUUAAAAAUACAGCAACAAUCAGCAAAUUUUAAGAAUGACUGUUAAGUGGAGAGAAUUGUGUAACUGAAGAACAUAGCUGGGAUAUAGAGACAGCUGCCAUCAUUUUCUUUCAGGGAUAGGCCAGUAUGCUAACUUUACAUUUGUGUAGAUGACCAGCAAUAAAAGACAUGGAAGAGAAUCAUUGGAGCUGCAUUUGUGUUGCAGAAGUAGCAAAAAGGUAAAGGUGGUACAAAGAAAUGAGUCAGUGAAACCACACUUGUAUAUAAGGUGAAAAUCUAGGAGUCAUAUUUAGAGUGGCAGGGAACAGUGAGGCAAAAGCCAAAGAGCCUGGGGAAGGCUGAGCGAGAAGAGAAGGGUUAGGCAGCCUGUCCUAGGGCUUAGGAUGAGGGUCAAGUCUGGGGACAAAAUUCAGACAGUGCACAUGUUUUUAUAGCACAAAGUUAAACCUGUAGUGGCAGAAAAACAGCUAAAAAACUAUAGGUGAGAGAGUAAAUGCUAGAAAUACGCCUAGCUGCUAAACAUGGAUCAGAGUUGUUUAUAUAAGUUUUUUUGCUUGUAACUCUCUAACAGUCUUGUAAUUAGAAGGCUUAUGUAUUGCUGAAAUUAACCUUUUCUGGUUUACCCAUUAAAGCUGGGAGUUUGUCAGGAGACUGACAAAUUUGGAGUUCUCAUACUUUUUGGCAAGUGCACACACAAAAAUCAAAGCAGUUUGUAGGCACUGUGCAUCCAUGACAAGGUUAAGGAAUUUAGGGACUGGAGAAUAUCUUUGAAGCUGCAGACUGGUUCUGCCAGGUGUUUUUUUAUUCUGGAAAGCAAUUGCCUCCAGCAGGCAUAGACUAGUGCACUUUGUGCAAGGGACUGGCUGCAGAGAUUCUCAGCUCCUAUUUGAUCAAUAUAACUUCCAGGGAGAAUUUGCCAUACUAAGGAAUGUAAGAUUUGCAUCUUAGUCUGGAGCAAAUGAACUUUGACCUCCACUCAUCUCUGAUGUUUGUAUAGUAAGAAUGCUGUAAGUGCUAUACAAGAGAACUGUGCAGCAGAAAUUACUUUGACUGCAGAAAUUACUGUUACCAAGUCAGUGUAGGAAUAAGGAAUUUUCAGCUUUAAAGCUUGGGCUUUUCUUCUUAGACUGUAGCUCAAUUUUAAAACUGCUGUCCAAGAAUUCCUUUCUGCAGUCAUCUGAGGAAAAGAUGUGUCACACAUACUAAGGCAAUGGAAAUGCAAUGAAUAAAAGUAUCAGAACCACCUCAAUAUCAUUGCGUAAGUCAAGAUAGGGCAGCAGUUCAUGGUGAAUGGUUUUAGUUAGGAUUGAGAUCAGCCACAAACAUGUUACCAUUCUUUUGGUAAUAAGUCUCCCCAACCAAGGCAUCCAUUUUUGCAGAAUAAAUGUUUUUACUGAGUUCCAGUAGAAGAAUUUCUCUUCCAAGUACUAAGGGGUGAUGAGAUAAAUGCAUGUCAUACUCUAAGCAUGUCAUGUUGGAAGAUAAGCAAAUAGAAUUAAUCAUAUUUUAAAAUGGAGUAUAUAAAGAUAAAAGCUUCACAAUAUAUGAAUCUGAUUAAAGUACACAUUCCUUGAUAAUCAGAUUUCACUUUGGCUUUUUUCCUGAUGUUUGGAAAGAAUUAUUAUUGUACUUGGUGCAACACCAAAACAACUGUUCCAAUUUGUUAGUUUUCUGCUUAUGAGAGCAUCAGGUUAAUUGUUCAAGACAUUUUGCAUCACACUCACAUAUGCUUUGGGCUUUCAAAUAUCAUACCAUUUUUGAAGUGAGGCAUUUUUUGAAGUGAGGCGUUUGAAGUGAGGUCAAGUAAUUUUAGAAAUCAAGCAAACAAAUGCUUUCUAAAUAAAAUGUACUUACUUCUGCA